UACAGAGGGGGCAAGCGUUGUUCGGAAUUACUGGGCGUAAAGGGCGCGUAGGCGGCCUGUUAAGUCGAACGUGAAAUCCCUGGGCUCAACCCAGGAACUGCGUCCGAUACUGGCAGGCUUGAAUCCGGGAGAGGGAUGUGGAAUUCCAGGUGUAGCGGUGGAAUGCGUAGAGAUCCGGAAGAACACCGGUGGCGAAGGCGGUCUGCUGGGCAGUUGCUGACACUGAGGCGCGACAGCGUGGGGAGCAAACAGG
rnacentral:rRNA from 1 species